CAACUUUUAGCGAUGGAUGUCUCGGCUCGAACAACGAUGAAGGACGCCGCAAAAUGCGAUAAGCGUUGUGAAUGGCAGAAUUCCGCGAAUCAAAAGAAAGCUGAACGCAUACUGCACUUUCGGGAUCCCCCUGAGAGUAUGCUUGGUUCAGGACGUUU
rnacentral:rRNA from 1 species